UACGUAGGGUGCAAGCGUUGUCCGGAAUUAUUGGGCGUAAAGAGCUCGUAGGCGGUCUGUCGCGUCUGCUGUGAAAACCUGGGGCUUAACCCCGGGCCUGCAGUGGGUACGGGCAGACUAGAGUGUGGUAGGGGAGACUGGAAUUCCUGGUGUAGCGGUGAAAUGCGCAGAUAUCAGGAGGAACACCCGUGGCUAAGGCGGCUCUCUAGUACGGUACUGACGCUGAGACGCGAAAGCGUGGGGAGCGAACAGG
rnacentral:rRNA from 1 species